rnacentral:rRNA from 1 species
UACGUAGGGUGCAAGCGUUGUCCGGAAUUACUGGGCGUAAAGCGUGCGCAGGCGGUUCGACAAGUCCGAUGUGAAAGCCCCGGGCUCAACCUGGGAAUGGCAUUGGAAACUGGCGAGCUUGAGUGUGGCAGAGGGGGGUGGAAUUCCGCGUGUAGCAGUGAAAUGCGUAGAGAUGCGGAGGAACACCGAUGGCGAAGGCAGCCCCCUGGGCUGACACUGACGCUCAGGCACGAAAGCGUGGGGAGCAAACAGG